GGUAUGUCACAGAACCUGCUUUGGACUCAGCACACAAGUCAGAAUUGAGAUGACUUGUGACCAUCAAUGUUUGGUUACCAGCAUUGAGUCAAAGUGGCCUGGGUCAGUCCAUGACUCCUGGAUCUCUAGGGAAUCUGCAUUUUGCCACGAAUUAGAGCAAGGCUCCUCAGUGGAUUGCUGGUAGGGGACCGAGGGUACGCCUGCCAGCCCUUUUUGAUGACCCCCUAUCCUGACCCGAACACACAGCCACAGAAUGCUUUUAAUGUGGCCCUUAGCAGAACAAGGGUCAGGAUAGAGAUGAACUUUGGCAUCAUCAAAGCACGCUUCAACUGCCUCCGAGUGGCCCAGACCGGGCUUGUCAGAUUGUGACAGCCUGUGUCGGGCUCCACAAUGUUGCCUCGAUAAGAAAGGAGAGAGCCCCACCUGGAGGUUUCAUGUUCAUGUUAUCCCUAUUCACUGGGGUGUCUCCCCUUAACUCCUUCUGUUGUCCUUGGGUUGCUUUGACCCAUUUUCUAACAUUUCCAUAUCAGAUAUUUGGGUUUCUUUCAACCAAAACAUUUCAAACCAAAAAGAACAAUGAGUACGGUACCAUGCAAUGCUCUUCACAAGUUAAAUAAAUCAUAAUUUCACGACUUUCAUUGAAAGUUUCAUUCACUUUUAUAGCAAUUUUCUAAAACAAUAAUAAGGACAUUGAAAGAAAGAAAUGGGGAAAAACCCCACCAAAGACUCCAAGGCAAAACAAAAAAAUAUUUGGGACAAGCCACAAAAAGGUAUAAAAGUUAAACAAAUACAUCCUCCUCAUUUGUUCUCCCUUUCUUAGGAACACAGAUAAAGAAUGUCAGGUUAACUGUAAGUUUUGUGUCGUUCAUUCAUACAUUCAGUCAUGUACUACCUUCUCAUAUUCCAGUUUCUUUUCUGAAGAAAUGCCCCCUUCCACUCCUUGCAUCAGGGGGCGACCCUGAUUGCUGAAAAGGGCCAGAACCUCAGCAGGAGUAAAUGUCAUUGUUCUAUAGGCCCUUUGUAUACCAAUAUCCUACAAAAGGGACUGACUCAGGCAAUUCAAAU